GCACAAGCGGUGGAUGAUGUGGAUUAAUUCGAUGCAACGCGAAGAACCUUACUACCCUUGACAUGUCCGGAACUUGCCAGAGAUGGCUUGGUGCCCGAAAGGGAGUCGGAACACAGGUGCUGCAUGGCUGUCGUCAGCUCGUGUCGUGAGAUGUUGGGUUAAGUCCCGCAACGAGCGCAACCCUUAUCAUUAGUUGCUACGCAAGGGCACUCUAAUGAGACUGCCGGUGACAAACCGGAGGAAGGUGGGGAUGACGUCAAGUCCUCAUGGCCCUUAUGGGUAGGGCUUCACACGUCAUACAAUGGUCGGUACAGAGGGUUGCCAAGCCGCGAGGCGGAGCCAAUCCCACAAAGCCGAUCGUAGUCCGGAUUGUUCUCUGCAACUCGAGAGCAUGAAGUCGGAAUCGCUAGUAAUCGCAGGUCAGCAUACUGCGGUGAAUACGUUCCCGGGUCUU
rnacentral:rRNA from 1 species